rnacentral:rRNA from 1 species
CCUACGGGUGGCAGCAGUGAGGAAUAUUGGUCAAUGGACGCAAGUCUGAACCAGCAAUGCCGCGUGCAGGAAGACGGCUCUAUGAGUUGUAAACUGCUUUUGUACGAGGGUAAACGCAGGUACGCGUAUCUGUCUGAAAGUAUCGUACGGAUAAGGAUCGGCUAACUCCGUGCCAGCAGCCGCGGUAAUACGGAGGAUUCAAGCGUUAUCCGGAUUUAGUGGGUGUAAAGGGUGCGUAGGCGGUAGGAUAAGUUAGAGGUGAAAUCCCGAGGCUCAACUCCGGAAUUGCAUCUGAUACUGUUAGGCUAGAGUGUAGUUGAGGUAGGCGGAAUGUAUGGUGUAGCGGUGAAAUGCUUAGAGAUUAUACAGAACACCGAUUGCGAAGGCAGCUUACCAAGCUACUUCUGACGUUGAGGCACGAAAGCGUGGGGAGCAAACAGGAUUAGAUACCCCAGUAGUC